rnacentral:rRNA from 1 species
AUUGAACGCUGGCGGCAGGCCUAACACAUGCAAGUCGAACGGUAACAGGAAGCAGCUUGCUGCUUCGCUGACGAGUGGCGGACGGGUGAGUAAUGUCUGGGAAACUGCCUGAUGGAGGGGGAUAACUACUGGAAACGGUAGCUAAUACCGCAUAACGUCGCAAGACCAAAGAGGGGGACCUUAGGGCCUCUUGCCAUCGGAUGUGCCCAGAUGGGAUUAGCUAGUAGGUGGGGUAACGGCUCACCUAGGCGACGAUCCCUAGCUGGUCUGAGGGGAUGACCAGCCACACUGGAACUGAGACACGGUCCAGACUCCUACGGGAGGCAGCAGUGGGGAAUAUUGCACAAUGGGCGCAAGCCUGAUGCAGCCAUGCCGCGUGUAUGAAGAAGGCCUUCGGGUUGUAAAGUACUUUCAGCGGGGAGGAAGGGAGUAAAGUUAAUACCUUUGCUCAUUGACGUUACCCGCAGAAGAAGCACCGGCUAACUCCGUG